rnacentral:rRNA from 1 species
CGAAGGGUGCAAGCGUUGUUCGGAAUUACUGGGCGUAAAGCGCGCGUAGGCGGCUUGAUAAGUUGGGAGUGAAAUCCCGGGGCUUAACUCCGGAAUUGCUUUCAAAACUGUUAAGCUAGAGUAUGGCAGGGGACAGUGGAAUUCCUAGUGUAGAGGUGAAAUUCGUAGAUAUUAGGAGGAACACCAGUGGCGAAAGCGACUGUCUGGACCAUUACUGACGCUGAGGCGCGAAAGCGUGGGGAGCAAACAGGAUUAGAUACCCUGGUAGUCCACGCUGUAAACGAUGGGUGCUAGAUAUUGGGGCUUAAGCCUCAGUGUCGUAGCUAACGCGUUAAGCACCCCGCCUGGGGAGUACGGUCGCAAGAUUA